GCCAGUGUGGCAUAGUGGUUUGCACAUUGGACUAUGACUUUGAAGAUCAGGGUUUGAAUCCCUGUUCAGCUA